rnacentral:rRNA from 1 species
GACGAACGCUGGCGGCGUGCUUAACACAUGCAAGUCGAACGGUCGGCACUGGAAGGUUCGCUGGAAGGUGCCGAUAGUGGCGGACGGGUGAGUAACGCGUGAGGACAUGGCUCCAGGAGGGGGAUAACGUUUGGAAACGGACGCUAAGACCCCAUAUGCCGGAAGGUGAAAAUGGGCAACCAGCCUGGAGAGUGACUCGCGUCCUAUCAGCUAGUUGGUGGGGUGAAGGCCUACCAAGGCGAUGACGGGUAGCCGACCUGAGAGGGUGGCCGGCCACACUGGAACUGAGAUACGGUCCAGACUCCUACGGGAGGCAGCAGUGGGGAAUAUUGGGCAAUGGGCGAAAGCCUGACCCAGCGACGCCGCGUGGGGGAAGAAGUCUUUCGGGAUGUAAACCCUUGUUGUACGGGACGAAGGAAGUGACGGUACCGUACGAGGAAGCCCCGGCAAACUACGUGCCAGCAGCCGCGGUAAUACGUAGGGGGCGAGCGUUGUCCGGAAUUACUGGGCGUAAAGCGCACGUAGGCGGGCUGUUAAGUCGGCCGUGAAAGGCACUGGCUCAACCGGUGUUUGUCGGUCGAUACUGGCAGUCUGGAGUAUGGGAGAGGGAACUGGAAUUCCCGGUGUAGCGGUGAAAUGCGUAGAUAUCGGGAGGAACACCAGUGGCGAAGGCGGGUUCCUGGCCCAUUACUGACGCUGAGGUGCGAAAGCCGGGGGAGCGAACGGGAUUAGAUACCCCGGUAGUCCCGGCUGUAAACGAUGGAUGCUAGGUGUGGGGGGGUUCCCCUCUGUGCCGCAGCUAACGCGAUAAGCAUCCCGCCUGGGGAGUACGAUCGCAAGAUUG